rnacentral:misc_RNA from 1 species
AAAUGCGAUAAGUAGUGUGAAUUGCAGAAUUCAGUGAAUCAUCGAAUCUUUGAACGCACAUUGCGCCCUUUGGUAUUCCAAAGGGCAUGCCUGUUCGAGCGUCAUUUGUACCCUCAAGCUUUGCUUGGUGUUGGGCGUCUUGUCUCCAGUUCGCUGGAGACUCGCCUUAAAGUAAUUGGCAGCCGGCCUACUGGUUUCGGAGCGCAGCACAAGUCGCGCUCUCUUCCAGCCAAGGUCAGCAUCCACAAAGCCUUUUUUCAACUUUUGACCUCGGAUCAGGUAGGGAUACUCGCUGAACUUAAGC